AGAAUGAACGCUGGCGGCGUGCUUUACACAUGCAAGUCGGGCGAGGCGUGUAGCAAUACACAGUCGAGCGGCGAACGGGUGAGUAACGCGUGGAUGACCUGCCCUUCAGUGGGGAAUAACCCGGGGAAACUCGGGCUAAUACCGCAUACGACCGAGAGGUGAAAGGGGGCCGCAAGGCUCUCACUGAAGGAGGGGUCCGCGUUCGAUUAGCUAGUUGGUAGGGUAAUGGCCUACCAAGGCGACGAUCGAUAGCCGGCCUGAGAGGGUGAUCGGCCACACUGGAACUGAGACACGGUCCAGACUCCUACGGGAGGCAGCAGUGGGGAAUUUGCGCAAUGGGCUAACGCCUGACGCAGCAACGCCGCGUGGAGGAUGAAGGUCUUUGGAUUGGUAAACUCCUGUCAGCAGGAAAAAGGAGGAGACCUCAUACGUCUCUGACUUGAUUGUACCUGCAGAGGAAGCCCCGGCUAACUCUAGUGCCAGCAGCCGCGGUAAUCUA
rnacentral:rRNA from 1 species